UGGGGAAUUUUGCACAAUGGGGGGAACCUUGAUGCAGCGACGCCGCGUGAGGGAUGGAGGCCUUCGGGUUGUGAACCUCUUUCGCUCGUGUGCAAGCCGCUAUUUGGGUAGUGGUGAGUGUAGCGGGUAAAGAAGCGCCGGCUAACUACGUGCCAGCAGCCGCGGUAAUACAUAGGGCGCGAGCGUUGUCCGGAUUUAUUGGGCGUAAAGGGCUUGUAGGCGGUUUGUCGCGCCUUUCGUGUAAUCCUCUGGCUUAACUGGGGGUGUGCGGUGGGUACGGGCAGGCUUGAGUGCGGUAGGGGAGAUUGGAAUUCCUGGUGUAGCGGUGGAAUGCGCAGAUAUCAGGAGGAACACCGGUGGCGAAGGCGGGUCUCUGGGCCGUUACUGACGCUGAGGAGCGAAAGCGUGGGGAGCGAACAGG
rnacentral:rRNA from 1 species